UGUAAAAAUGAUUUUUAACCUCCUUUAACAUUUUUUUGAGUCAAAUUGUUUUCCCCUCUCUAUGGGGGUCAUGUGUGGGAGACUGGUGAUGGGUGAUUGGAUCUGAGGGCUGUUGUAGCCAUGGAGAGGGAGAGUUAGUCAGCUAGGAAAACUAGCAGCUAGAGAGAAAGAGUGAGAUAAGGAGAAGGACCAGAAAGGUGAAGCCAGCAUGCCUUUUGAGAAGGACCAGGGGAAGAAUCAUGGCACCAUGACUGGGGCUAUGACUUCCUUUAUUGUGACUAAAAGAAAGAGUUUUAUAGAGAGAAAAAUCCUAAGCACAACAACAUUCUUGGGGGCUGGAUGUGCUACUCUCCCACAGGAUAAUGUUUAUGAAAAUGACUCCACAUAUGAACAUUACCAGGGUUGCUAUUAUAGAGAUAAGACAACACCAGAGGACAACAAUCAAGAUGUCAAUCAAGAAAGAACAUUUCAAAUACAAUGUUCCCAGGAAUGUCAGGUGGAGCAUGGCCAGGGGAUGAACUGAGAGACUGCUUGAGCUUCUGACCAAGGGGAGACUGGCUUGGUUUCUGACCUAGGCUGAGGCUUUGGUGUGGCUGAUGUUGGUCAUUGAUUGUUAUAUACUGGGCUGAUUAGAAGAAGACAGAAGAAAGUCAAUUGUCCUUCAUAUCUCCUUGACAGACUUGUGUCACAGCUGUGACAGAACUGACAUUUCCCAAAAUCCUCCUAACCUUCCUUAGAGAUUAGGGAACACCUUAUCCCUCUCACCUC
rnacentral:lncRNA from 1 species